CAGCGUUGCGUGUUUCUUGCCGGAGGUAGAGCUACUGGAUGGCCGAUGGGCCCUACAAGGUUACUGACGUCAGCCAAACUCCGAAUGCCGGUGAAGUUUGAGCAUUGCAGUGAGACUGUGGGGGAUAAGCUUCAUAGUCGAGAGGGAAACAGCCCAGAUCGCCGGUUAAGGCCCCUAAGGGUGUACUAAGUGGAAAAGGAUGUGGGAUCGCGAAGACAGCCAGGAGGUUGGCUUAGAAGCAGCCAUCCUUUAAAGAAAGCGUAACAGCUCACUGGUCAAGCGCUCCUGCGCGGAAAAUGUAACGGGGCUUAAGUGAUACACCGAAGCUGUGGAUUCAAUCUUAUGAUUGAGUGGUAGCGGAGCGUUCCGUAGGCCGAUGAAGGUGGACCCGCGAGGGCCGCUGGAGGUAUCGGAAGUGAGAAUGCUGACAUGAGUAGCGACAAAGAGGGUGAGAGACCCUCUCGCCGAAAGUCCAAGGUUUCCUGCGCAAUGCUAAUCAGCGCAGGGUUAGUCGGCCCCUAACGCGAGGCAGAAAUGCGUAGUGGAUGGGAAGCAGGUUAAUAUUCCUGCACCUGACGGGUAGUGACGGAUUCUGGAAGUUGUCAGUCCUUAUCGGAUUGAAUUGGCAGCCAAGGAGUCCCUGGAAAUAGCUCCCGCAUUUGACCGUACCCCAAACCGACACAGGUGGACUGGUAGAGC
rnacentral:rRNA from 1 species